ensembl:scaRNA
UGUGAGGCAGAUACACAAAUUGAGCUGCAAUACUGCUCUAAUUGUCAUCAUACCUCCCUAGAAUAAAUUGCCUUUUGAUGACUGGGAGGAAUUGAGUGAAAUCAUAAUGAACAGAUAUGGGGCAGGCAGUU